CAAACUUGACACCAUCCACUGUGUCUUUCUCCAAUCUCACAUAUCUUAGUGUAAAGGAUUGCGGUAAAUUGAAAUACUUGUUCACGUCCUCAACGGCCAAAACAUUAGGUGUAUUGGAGCAUAUGAUCGUUUCCAACUGUGAAUCAAUAGAAGAAAUAGUGGCUAAGGAUUAUGAAGACGAAAAUGAAGGUUCGAUCAUAUUCGAGCAGCUUGAGGUUUUGGAAUUGAGCUCGUUGCCAAAACUUCAAUGCUUCUACUCUGGGUCUUCCACUUUGAAUUUCCCAUCCUUGAAUAACGUUUAUUUCAACCAAGUAUCCAACGGCAUGAACUUUUUCCGUCAAGGUUAUAUCUUACCAAACAAACUAGUGUGGUACACUAAAUGAACGCCAAGUCAAAUAGACGGUGUCAGCCUGUCAGGAAAGUGUUGUCGGGUGGGAAAAGCUUAUUGUCAUUGCCUUUUAUCAUGCAAGCUUGUUGUCUUGUUUUUCAAGCAGCAGUGGAGCAGAAAUCAUGGAAUGUUGGUUCAGUGGGACUUGAAGGAUGCAAUUAGAUGAUAAGUGGAUAACAUCAUGGCAACAACCAUUGGCAAAUUGAGGGCUUUUCUUUUCAUUAAUAAAGUUUACCUGUAUGCCCACAGGAACUUUGUGUUGUUUAGUGUUUCAUGGAUAGGUUGAUCUAUAUUUUCUACAAGUGUUAUGUAUUGUUUUUAAGUUAUGGUGCACGUGUUUCAUGAAUAAGUUGA